CGUAGGUGGCAAGCGUUGUCCGGAUUUAUUGGGUUUAAAGGGUGCGUAGGCGGUCUAUUAAGUCAGUGCUGAAAUAUCCCGGCUUAAUCGGGAGGGUGGCAUUGAUACUGAUGGACUUGAGUGCAGUCGAGGUAGGCGGAAUUGACGGUGUAGCGGUGAAAUGCUUAGAUAUCGUCAAGAACACCGAUAGUGUAGACAGCUUACUAGGCUGUAACUGACGCUGAGGCACGAAAGUGUGGGGAUCAAACAGGAUUAGAUACCCUGGUAGUCCACACUGUAAACGUUGAUGACUCGCUGUUUGCGAUGUACAGUAAGCGGCUUAGAGAAAUCGUUAAGUCAUCCACCUGGGGAGUACCGCCGGCAACGGUG
rnacentral:rRNA from 1 species